rnacentral:rRNA from 1 species
UCCGUAGGUGAACCUGCGGAAGGAUCAUUACCGAGUUGAUUCGGGCUCCGGCCCGAUCCUCCCACCCUUUGUGUACCUACCUCUGUUGCUUUGGCGGGCCGCGGUCCUCCGCGGCCGCCCCCCUCCCCGGGGGGGUGGCCAGCGCCCGCCAGAGGACCAUCAAACUCCAGUCAGUAAACGAUGCAGUCUGAAGAACAUUUAAUAAACUAAAACUUUCAACAACGGAUCUCUUGGUUCUGGCAUCGAUGAAGAACGCAGCGAAAUGCGAUAAGUAAUGUGGAUUGCAGAAUUCAGUGAAUCAUCGAAUCUUUGAACGCACAUUGCGCCCUUUGGUAUUCCGAAGGGCAUGCCUGUUCGAGCGUCAUUACAACCCUCAAGCUCUGCUUGGUAUUGGGCACCGUCCUUUGCGGGCGCGCCUCAAAGACCUCGGCGGUGGCGUCUUGCCUCAAGCGUAGUAGAACAUACAUCUCGCUUCGGAGCGCAGGGCGUCGCCCGCCGGACGAACCUUCUGAACUUUUCUCAAGGUUGACCUCGGAUCAGGUAGGGAUACCCGCUGAACUUAAGCAUAUCAAUAAGCGGAGGA